rnacentral:rRNA from 1 species
GACGAACGCUGGCGGCGUGCUUAACACAUGCAAGUCGAGCGGAAAGGCCACUUCGGUGGUACUCGAGCGGCGAACGGGCGAGUAACACGUGAGUAAUCUGCCCCUGGCUUUGGGAUAGCCACCGGAAACGGUGAUUAAUACCGGAUACGACCACUUCUCGCAUGGGAUGGUGGUGGAAAGUUUUUUCGGCCAGGGAUGUGCUCGCGGCCUAUCAGCUUGAUGGUGAGGCAAUGGCUCACCAUGGCUUCGACGGGUAGCCGGCCUGAGAGGGUGACCGGUCACACUGGGACUGAGACACGGCCCAGACUCCUACGGGAGGCAGCAGUGGGGAAUAUUGGACAAUGGGCGGAAGCCUGAUCCAGCAACGCCGCGUGAGGGAUGACGGCCUUCGGGUUGUAAACCUCUUUCAGCAGGGACGAAGCGCAAGUGACGGUACCUGCAGAAGAAGCACCGGCCAACUACGUGCCAGCCGCCGCAGUAA